GCUCAUUCACAUUACAGAUGAAGAUGCUGAGGCUGAAUCCUACCUUAAGAAUUGGGGAGGAUACAGAAAUAGGUGAUUCCUGAGAGUCCACAAGCCAGCCAAUCCAAAGGGGUCUUUCACUGAAUCUGGAGCGGGUAGAUUCGGCUAGACUGGCUCGUCAGCAAGCCUCAGGUUCCUCCGUCUUCACCCCCAGCACUGAGGUUACAGGCUCCCUGCCACACCUGGAUUUUCAAUGGGUGCUCAGGGUCCCGACUCAGGUUUCACGUUUGCACAGUUAGCACUUUACCCAUUAGUAUAUCACCAGUCCCACACGCAUGGUGCCUCGGCUCUAUUCAAGACCACACCGGACCGUCUUCACCAAGAGUUAUUCACACUUAACACCUGCUCCAAGAGUGAAGCCGGCGCUGGAGGAGCCAAGGCCUGUCACCACACUGUGACUGUGAGAUCCAGACAAAACCCUUCCUCCCCUCUCCAGAGUCUACGUCAAGCUGGCAAGAACCGGCCCAGGUUAGGUCUGGUAGGGAUGGCCAAGAAAGAGUUUGUCUUAGAGCCUGUGCCAGCGCCUGGGAGACAGUCCUGAGGGUCCCCAGAGUUUAGCACAGCCCCCUCCCUUUCCUGCCUUCCUCACAUCCAGAAACCCAGUUCCAAGGCAGUCUUGACUGAAGGCGCCUACUCCUGUCUCGGGACUAGAGGUUGGUUUUGUCCAAUACAAUGAAUGGAAAAGACCCUGAUAAAGGCGGCUGCAGAGAAUGUGGUGCCCUUUGCUGCUUGAGGAUAGUCAGGAUCAAAUGGCCUCUUCAGUUGUGAACUUUUCUUACUUGCACCAAGAUUUGUUCCGAUUUGGAGAAGACCCAGAUACCUUCUGUGAGCAGGUGACAGACACGCUUUGUUCAGCCCUAGACCAGGGCUGUGUGGUGCAAAGCUUUACAAUUCAGGAGGAGAAAUGGUGUGUUGAUCCUUUAAAAAUAUUUAUUUUUUAAUGUAUAUGGGUGUUUUGUCUGCAUGCAUGCCUGUGUAUCACAAGUAUGCCUAGUGCCUAGAAGAGGAUGUCAGAUCCCCUGAGAUGGCAUUCCAGACACUUGUGAGGUGCAUAGGGCCCAAGUCUACGGAACCACAGCCUGUGCUCUAUCGAGCCUCCUCUCCGGCCACACGUGUUGAGUCUUCAACACUUUCUGUAGCCCAAGACGCCUAAGAAUGCUUCCUCAUGAGGAGCUGGCUGUGAGUGUAGAGAUGCCAUCCUGCCUUUCUUCCUCCCAACUUUAACAGUCUUCCCACUCCUCCCAGUUGACCCUGUGCCCAAAGAGGCUUCCAGUCACAAUGUCAGCCUUAAGUACAUGGCUGUGAGAGACUUGUCUAACGUGUUCACAGAAUCAAAGAUCAAAACAUCACUUUACCUGAUACUUCACAAGGGCCCAGGUGUGUGUCAUGUGUGUGUGUGUGUCAUGUGUGUGUGUGCACAUGUGUGGUGGAUAUGAGAUAGUGCUAACACAAAAUAUUAAAAUGAUCAUUGCUGUCAAAUAUAUUAUCCUGAUAUCACACUGUAUUAUGUUUUGUGUUUUUCUUGUGGCAUGUGUGCUUUUCAGUAUGAGUCAAUUUCCAUUAUCUCACUGCUUGCAGUGUUCAAAACAAUUUGUUUGAUGUUAUCAAAACAAUUGAAUCUCUCCUUGGAAUUCUGUUCUCUCGUCUGUGCCCUGUGCAAGGACAGGGUGAGUCUCACUGUGGCCGUUGGCUAAGAAAACAGUUUUCAUUCUAUUAAAGAUUUCUCCUCAGAAGUCACAUCAACUGCCAAAUAUUUAAUAAAUUGGUACUUGAAUUUCAGGUAAUUCAGCAUAAGAAACUGUUCGCCUAUCUAGAAACAGUUCAUGGCUUACGAUUUGUCACUUAGCUGCUGAUCCUUGAUGGAAAUGAGCUACUCCAACAGAGUUAAUGGUAGUUACUAGUCAAGGCUAAACUUUGGGGGAUCAUUCUACAGUUUGUUACUAAUAGUUCUUAGUCAUUGAGCAGCUAUGAGCCGGGAACCACAAUAGCCUUCUACAUGCUAUCUCAUCUGACCUUAAUAAUAAAUAGCCUUGUGAAGUGUGUAUCAUUUCUGUUUCAAAUAGGAGAGAAUGGGAAACAAAAGGUAACGUCUGAUGUGUGAUUGAGCUUAAAUGUGAAUCCAGGCUUGAAUCCAAAGCUGAAGAACUAGACUGCCUCCAUCUUAGGCUUAAAAGCCAUCAGUAAAGACAAACUAGAUUCACUCCUGUUUAUCAUUAAACCUGUGUUCCUCAAGGAUUAAGCUAUGUCCCACCUGUAACCUUAACUACAAAUGGUUCUGUACUGCCUCUUCCAGAAAUGGCAAUCAUGUCUUUGUUUCAAGAAGUUGGUUGUAACCAUCUUGCAACCUUACCUUUGUUUCAAAAGGUUAUGACCACCUAGGACUAUCUUGUCAUGACUAUCUGUAGUUAUGACCACCUCACUAUGCCCACCUUGCAACCAUGUCUUUGUUUCAGGAGGGACUGAUUUGUUAUGCUUAUGUUCCGGACCUGUAACCCUGCCUAUUCUGCCCAUCAAAUCCCCCAUUGGGAAAACCCCUACCCCUGAUCUAUAAAAGCCUUGUCUUCCUCACACCCAAUGCUGACCUCUUGAAUCCCACCUUAGGGGGAAGCAGACCAUAUAGAAGAAUUU